rnacentral:rRNA from 1 species
UGAGGAAUAUUGGUCAAUGGGCGAGAGCCUGAACCAGCCAAGUCGCGUGAGGGAAGACGGUCCUACGGAUUGUAAACCUCUUUUGUCGGGGAGCAAUAAAGCGUACGCGUACGCAGAUGCGAGUACCCGCAAGAAAAGACAUCGGCUAACUCCGUGCCAGCAGCCGCGGUAAUACGGAGGAUGCGAGCGUUAUCCGGAUUUAUUGGGUUUAAAGGGUGCGCAGGCGGAAAAGUGCAAGUCAGCGGUCAAAACGACGGGGGCUCAAACCCCCGUCUCGCCGUUGAAAACUGUCUUUUCUAGAGUGAGCGAGAAAGUAUGCGGAAUGCGUGGUGUAGCGGUGAAAAUGCAUAGAUAUCACGCAGAAACUCCGAUUGCGAAGGCAGCAUACCGGCGCUCAAACUGACGCUCAUGCACGAAAAGCGUGGGUAUCGAACAGGAUUAGAUACC